AGGGGUGUUGAAGUCUGUUUUAAAGCUCUUUGGCAGUGGUCUAAGAUGUUAUAUUCUGCCUUUCAGUUGUGUAUGCUUCUGUGUUUUUCAGUUACCCCUUCUCUGCCCUUCUGAUGUACUGUAGACCAAGUAACCAGAUGUACAGGCUUGUUAGAAUUAUGCCGAAAAGACAAAGUGAUCUAAAAGAAAGUGGGAAUGGCUCUCCUGAAUGAAUUACCUUGAAGCAUUAGUGCAGGGACUAAUCCAGUUUCAUAAAUCUUAUACUUAUUUCUGGAUCCUUGGCUAUACUUCAGAUAGCUAUGGUCAUUUUAUAUAGUGUCCAUAUUAAAUAUGACUAACAACAGUAGUGCUUUAAAAUAUGAUGGAGUCAACAUCAGUGACAUUUUCAGCUUUAUUGAGGUGUGAUUGAUAAAAAUUGUAUAUAUUUAAGUGCAAAAUAUUUUUAUACAUGAAUUCAUUGUGCAGUGAAUACAGUAAUCAAAUUGAUAUAUAUGUCACUACCCAUAGUUACCAUAUUUUGUCUGUGGUGAGAACUUGAGAUCUACCCUCAGCAGAUUUCAU
rnacentral:lncRNA from 1 species